rnacentral:tRNA from 1 species
GUAGCUCAGCUGGAUAGAGCAACGCCCUUCUAAGGCGUGGGUCCUGCGUUCGAAUCGCAGC